rnacentral:tRNA from 1 species
GCCUGGCUGGCUCAGCAGGUGGAGCAUGUGACUCUCAAUCUCUGGGUUGUAGGUUCAAGCCCCACGUUGGCUG